rnacentral:rRNA from 1 species
GACGAACGCUGGCGGCGUGCUUAACACAUGCAAGUCGAACGGAAAGGCCCUGCUUUUGUGGGGUGCUCGAGUGGCGAACGGGUGAGUAACACGUGAGUAACCUGCCCUUGACUUUGGGAUAACUUCAGGAAACUGGGGCUAAUACCGGAUAGGAGCUCCUGCUGCAUGGUGGGGGUUGGAAAGUUUCGGCGGUUGGGGAUGGACUCGCGGCUUAUCAGCUUGUUGGUGGGGUAGUGGCUUACCAAGGCUUUGACGGGUAGCCGGCCUGAGAGGGUGACCGGCCACAUUGGGACUGAGAUACGGCCCAGACUCCUACGGGAGGCAGCAGUGGGGAAUAUUGCACAAUGGGCGGAGGCCUGAUGCAGCAACGCCGCGUGCGGGAUGACGGCCUUCGGGUUGUAAACCGCUUUCGCCCGUGACGAAGCGUGAGUGACGGUAAUGGGUAAAGAAGCACCGGCUAACUACGUG